GGGGCUUUGUAGGCCAUUGUGAAGGAUGUGGGAUUUACCUUGAGUGAGCUGAGGUUUGAGCAGAUGAGUGCUCUGACCCGACUACAUCUUAACAGAACCGUUCUGACACUCAUGUGAGGGGGCAGAUAGGUGGGGAGCGAGGAUGGAUGCAGACAGGCUGAUCAGGAGGCCAUUGUGAUAAUCUAGGUGAGAGACCACGGGGUCUUGGGGCAAAGUAUGAGCACUGAAGGUGGCUAGAAGUGAUUGGAUCCUCUGCACUUUGAAAAAAGAGUGCAUGGUUUUUUAUUUUUAUUUUUUUUUAUAAAUUGGAUGUGCAGAGAGAAAGAAACAAGAACAAUACAUUCCAUAACAGUUAUGCCACUCUUCAGUAUCAAUGUGAAAAUAAUAAAAGAGCAGCUUGAUGUCUUCAAUCAUGUUACCUAUGCACUAUGACCUGUCUCCUCCCAGGCAGAACAAAUAGUGCAGACUCAAAUCCACCCAACCGUCUGUGUUCCCUGGACAAGUAACUUUACCUCUCAGAGCCAUUUAUUCAUCUACUGAGUAGGAGUAUUAAUAUCAACAGUGCCUCCGUCAGAGCGUCUUAGCGUGCGAUGACCCCCGUGCGUGGCUUGGAGACAUGCAUAUGGAGGGUGGGGACUAGGUGUUAGUCCUUAUUUCUCUUAGGAGUCACAUAGGCCUUUGUUUUAGUCAUGAGAUUAGGGCCCUUCUUUUGAGGUUGCUGCAACCCUGGGGAGAGUGAUUAUCUAGCACUGUGGCUAAGGUCAGAAACUCAGGAAUCAGUUACAAGGAAACCAUAGUCAAGAUGGCUCCAUCACUUGGUCAAGGCAUUCGGUCCCUUCGUGGAGCAUGGUGGCUCAUGUCUGUAGUCCCAGCUACUCAGGAGGCUGAGGUGGGAGGAUUGCUUGAGCCCAGGAAUUCCAGGCUUCAGUGAGCUAGGAUGGUGCCACUGUACUCCAGCCUGGGCAAUAGAGCAAGACCCUGUCUAUAAAUCAAAAAGGGAUUCAGGCCCUCUAUGCCUCAGUUUGCUCACCUAGGAAAUGGGGAGAGUAAACUCUCCCUUGCAGGGUGGCUGGGAGGAUUAAAUGAGGG
rnacentral:lncRNA from 1 species